rnacentral:tRNA from 1 species
AAUUAUGUGCCUGAAUAAAGGAUUAUUAUGAUAUAAUAAAUUAUGUAUAAAUACCAUAAUUA